AAAAAUUUAGUUAAAGCAUAUAACAUUAGCUUGUCAAGCUAAAAUUAAUAUUAAAUAAAUUAAUUUUUA
rnacentral:tRNA from 1 species